rnacentral:rRNA from 1 species
GAUGAACGCUGGCGGCGUGCCUAAUACAUGCAAGUCGAGCGAACGGACGAGAAGCUUGCUUCUCUGAUGUUAGCGGCGGACGGGUGAGUAACACGUGGAUAACCUACCUAUAAGACUGGGAUAACUUCGGGAAACCGGAGCUAAUACCGGAUGAUAUUUUGAACCGCAUGGUUCAAAGGUGAAAGACGGUCUUGCUGUCACUUAUAGAUGGAUCCGCGCUGCAUUAGCUAGUUGGUAAGGUAACGGCUUACCAAGGCAACGAUGCAUAGCCGACCUGAGAGGGUGAUCGGCCACAGUGGAACUGAGACACGGUCCAGACUCCUACGGGAGGCAGCAGUAGGGAAUCUUCCGCAAUGGGCGAAAGCCUGACGGAGCAACGCCGCGUGAGUGAUGAAGGUCUUCGGAUCGUAAAACUCUGUUAUUAGGGAAGAACAUAUGUGUAAGUAACUGUGCACAUCUUGACGGUACCUAAUCAGAAAGCCACGGCUAACUACGUG